UUUCCACCCUCGGUGCUACUGUCGAGCGAGCUAGCUGGAGCUUGCUCGUUUGACGUUAGUCUCGGACGUGUGAGUAACACGGGGUCAACCUACCUUAUAGUUUGGGAUAACUCCAUGAAACCGGGCCUAAUACCGAAUUAUCUGUUUCAUCUCAUGGUGAUAUAUUGAAAGACGGUUUCGGCUGUCGCUAUAGGAUGGGCCCGUGGCUCUUUAGCUAGUUGGUGAGGUAACGGCUCACCUAGGCGACGAUGCGUAGCCGACCUGAGAGGGUGAUCGGCCACUCUGGGACUGAGACACGGUUCAGACUCCUUCGGGAGGCAGGAGUAGGUAGAGGCCAACUGGGUGAUAGCUGAGGGAGCAAGGGUGCUGUGUGGGGAGAUUAAGCUUCGAUCUCUCGAUGGGAGCUGGAGGACAACCUUCGCCCACACUUGGCUGUUCCCUGCCGGAGGCAUAAUAAAAAAGCCACCGGUGACCUACGGGGAUGCAAGGCCCGGGAAAGGUUCUUUCGGGUGGCUUUGAACUGAAUCAAUGGGCCCAACAGGUUUGGGGCGGGCCCCCUUCUUAUUGCCUUAUGGUGUAAGCCCCUGGGCUCCGUCCGUGCCAGGGGCCGUGGGAAAUCUGGGGAGAAUUUGACGGCAGUAAAAGGAUAGGAAAAACUCCUAAGUGUUGGGAUGAAAUGCUUACAGAUUUGGAAGCCCCGCCAGUCUCAAACUUGUAUUUCUCCUCAUCCCGUUUCCGGACCUCUGAGGCGAGUAUACCCGAUCCAGAGAACUCCCCGUUUUCCGAAUACCCCUGUCCUGCCCAAUCCCCUUACACAUAUUCAGCUGCUUAACGUGUUGAGAUGUCCUAUCUCAUCCCCCCUUCAUGCGCCUUGCAAGCUUCAUCCGCAUUAUACCCAAUUACCCCCUCUGGCGAGAGUAGCAGUCCUGAGCACUUUGCAACACUCCGAAGCUUAAAGUGAAACCGACCCGCCGGGACCAGAUUGUUACGCGCAGACAUAUGUGUGCGUGUAACAUCCCGCCAUGUCCAACGGCUUAAGAGAAAAUCUCAUUGCA
rnacentral:rRNA from 1 species